CGAUAUGCUUUGGGGAGCUGUACGUAAGCGUUGAUCCAGAGAUUUCCGAAUGGGGGAACCCACUAUCUUUAGUCGGAUAGUAUCCUUACGUGAAUACAUAGCGUAAGGAAGGCAGACCCAGGGAACUGAAACAUCUAAGUACCUGGAGGAAGAGAAAGAAAAAUCGAUUUCCUGAGUAGCGGCGAGCGAAACGGAAAGAGCCCAAACCAAGAAGCUUGCUUCUUGGGGUUGUAGGACACUCUAUACGGAGUUACAAAAGAAAGUUAUAAAUGAAGCGGUCUGGAAAGGCCCGCCAAAGACGGUAACAGCCCGGUAGUUGAAAUGGCUUUCCCUCCAGAGUGGAUCCUGAGUACGGCGGAACACGUGAAAUUCCGUCGGAAUCCGGGAGGACCAUCUCCCAAGGCUAAAUACUCCCUAGUGACCGAUAGUGAACCAGUACCGUGAGGGAAAGGUGAAAAGCACCCCGGAAGGGGAGUGAAACAGUUCCUGAAACCGUGUGCCUACAAGUAGUUAGAGCCCGUUAAUGGGUGAUAGCGUGCCUUUUGUAGAAUGAACCGGCGAGUUACGAUUUGUUGCAAGGUUAAGCGGAAAAAGCGGAGCCGUAGCGAAAGCGAGUCUGAAUAGGGCGCAUAAGUAACAGGUCGUAGACCCGAAACCAGGUGAUCUACCCAUGUCCAGGAUGAAGGUAAGGUAAUACUUACUGGAGGUCCGAACCCACGCACGUUGAAAAGUGCGGGGAUGAGGUGUGGGUAGCGGAGAAAUUCCAAUCGAACUUGGAGAUAGCUGGUUCUCUCCGAAAUAGCUUUAGGGCUAGCCUCGAGGUAAAGAGUCAUGGAGGUAGAGCACUGUUUGGACUAGGGGCCCUUCUCGGGUUACCGAAUUCAGAUAAACUCCGAAUGCCAUGUACUUAUACUCGGGAGUCAGACUGCGAGUGAUAAGAUCCGUAGUCGAAAGGGAAACAGCCCAGACCACCAGUUAAGGUCCCCAAAUAUAUGUUAAGUGGAAAAGGAUGUGGGGUUGCUUAGACAACCAGGAUGUUGGCUUAGAAGCAGCCACCAUUGAAAGAGUGCGUAAUAGCUCACUGGUCGAGUGACCCCGCGCCGAAAAUGUACCGGGGCUAAACAUAUUA
rnacentral:rRNA from 1 species